UGGGAACUAGAGAAAUAUAGAACAGCAAGA
rnacentral:piRNA from 1 species